rfam:Homo sapiens chromosome 22, GRCh38 reference primary assembly.
GCUGGGCGUGGUGGCUCACGCCUGUAAUCCCAACACUUUGGGAGGCCGAGGUGGGUGGAUCACCUGAGGUCAGGAGUUCGAGACCAGCCUGGCCAACAUGGUGAAACCCCGUCUCUA